rnacentral:rRNA from 1 species
CCUACGGGUGACAGCAGUGAGGAAUAUUGGUCAAUGGCCGGAAGGCUGAACCAGCCAAGUCGCGUGAGGGACGAAUGCCCUAUGGGUUGUCAACCUCUUUUAUAAGGGAAGAAUAAAUGAUACGUGUAGCAUGAUGCGUGUACCUUAUGAAUAAGCAUAGGCUAACUCAGUGACAGCAGCCGCGGUAAUACGAAGGAUGCGACCGGUGUCCGGAUUUAUAGGGUUUAACGGGUACGUAGGCGGUUUGUUAAGUUAGUGGUUAAACGUCGGGGCUUCACCUUGAUUUGCCAUUAAUACUGUAAGACUCGAGUUCAGACGAGGUAUGCGGAAUAAGUUAAGUAGCGGUGAAAUGCUUAGAUAUAUCUUAGAACUCCGAUAGCGAAGGCAGCUUACCAGACUGCUACUGACGCUGAAGCACGAGAGCGUGGGUAGCGAACAGGAUUAGAUACCCUGGUAGUC